AUUAAAAAUAUAUGGAUAUCUUGCAUUACCAUCCAACACAUUUUUUUUUCUUUUUGUUUCUUCAAAACCCUCGAGAACAAUGUGCUGCCACUCAAAUGUAGUUCUUUUAUGAUAUGUUUGGUUACAUUAUGUUGUUUCCCACAAUGUUCUGUCUCAACUAUUUAACAUUAACUAGAUGUUUUUGCUUGGAUUGUUGUAAUAUGCUUUGGUACGGUUUGCUCAGCUUUCCAGGUACAAUGAAGCGAGGACCAAGUAUGAAUUCAAUUGUAAUCUAAUGUUAAGAGACAUUUUGGAAUAUAAUAAGCCAUGCGUGACUGUAUAAUAUUGCUACAUAACCAAACAGAACUUGACAUACCCUGAUUUUCAGUGGUUUGUUCAUAUGACGAGAUUGCUGCCAUCUCCUGACGCUCAAAUCACUCAAAUCAAGAACAUUUUAUUCUCCUACACUGUCAUGUUCUUAUGGACUCAUUUGAUUUAUUUUACAGUAUAUGUAAUAAAUCAUUAAUUUAACUUGUUUCCUCUUCAGUCUUUGAGGACAAUGAAUGUCAUGUUCCCAAAAGUGGUAUGUAUAAUGGUUUCAAGUAAGUAUUGCCUAAUCAGAAAUUUUGAUAUCACAUUAUUAAAAAGUAUAGGUGAAAAAAUACACAUUUGUUGUUCAGUUUUAAUUGUCAACAAAGCUAACACUUGUACUGAUUUUUAUCAUGUUUGGAGGAAAGUAUCCUCACAUCUCAAAGUGUUGUUCCUUG